GCAUAGGCUUGGCUUUAGGACGGGCCCAUCUGCCUGCAUCGCUGACACUGUCCCGUGCAGGGCAGACUGCCACCAUAUCAUUGUCUGGUGCUCAUACCUAUAGGCUGCUGUGAAGUGGCACAGUU
ensembl:snoRNA